rnacentral:rRNA from 1 species
AGAGUUUGAUCAUGGCUCAGGACGAACGCUGGCGGCGUGCCUAACACAUGCAAGUCGAACGGGGAUUUUGUUUCGGCAGAAUCCUAGUGGCGAACGGGUGAGUAACGCGUAGGCAACCUGCCCUCCGGCCGGGGACAACACUCCGAAAGGGGUGCUAAUACCGGAUACGAAGUCUGUGCCGCAUGGUACGGAUUUGAAAGAUGGCCUCUGUUUACAAGCUAUCGCCGGGGGAUGGGCCUGCGUCCGAUUAGCUGGUUGGUGGGGUAACGGCCUACCAAGGCGACGAUCGGUAGCCGGUCUGAGAGGAUGAACGGCCACAUUGGGACUGAGACACGGCCCAGACUCCUACGGGAGGCAGCAGUGGGGAAUCUUCCGCAAUGGGCGCAAGCCUGACGGAGCAACGCCGCGUGAGUGAGGAAGUUCUUCGGAACGUAAAGCUCUGUUGUUCCUGACGAACCUCCCCUCUAUCAACAACGGAGGGGAUUGACGGUAGGGAACGAGGAAGCCACGGCUAACUACGUGCCAGCAGCCGCGGUAAUACGUAGGUGGCAAGCGUUGUCCGGAAUUAUUGGGCGUAAAGCGCAUGUAGGCGGUAAUUUAAGUCUGUCGUGAAACUGCGGGGCUCAGCCCCGUAUGGCGAUGGAAACUGGGUUACUUGAGUGCAGGAGAGGAAAGGGGAACUCCCAGUGUAGCGGUGAAAUGCGUAGAUAUUGGGAAGAACACCGGUGGCGAAGGCGCCUUUCUGGACUGUGUCUGACGCUGAGAUGCGAAAGCCAGGGUAGCGAACGGGAUUAGAUACCCCGGUAGUCCUGCCCGUAAACGAUGGGUACUAGGUGUGGGAGGUAUCGACCCCUUCCGUGCCGGAGUUAACGCAAUAAGUACCCCGCCUGGGGAGUACGGCCGCAAGGCUUAAACUCAAGGGAAUUGACGGGGG